rnacentral:rRNA from 1 species
AGCGUACACGGUGGAUGCCCUGGCAGUCAGAGGCGAUGAAGGACGUGCUAAUCUGCGAAAAGCGUCGGUAAGGUGAUAUGAACCGUUAUAACCGGCGAUGUCCGAAUGGGGAAACCCAGUGCAAUUCGUUGCACUAUCGUUAACUGAAUACAUAGGUUAACGAGGCGAACCGGGGGAACUGAAACAUCUAAGUACCCCGAGGAAAAGAAAUCAACCGAGAUUCCCCCAGUAGCGGCGAGCGAACGGGGAGCAGCCCAGAGUCUGAAUCAGCUUGUGUGUUAGUGGAACGGUCUGGAAAGUCCGACGGUACAGGGUGAUAGUCCCGUACACCAAAAUGCACAGGCUGUGAACUCGAAGAGUAGGGCGGGACACGUGGUAUCCUGUCUGAAUAUGGGGGGACCAUCCUCCAAGGCUAAAUACUCCUGACUGACCGAUAGUGAACCAGUACCGUGAGGGAAAGGCGAAAAGAACCCCGGCGAGGGGAGUGAAAAAGAACCUGAAACCGUGUACGUACAAGCAGUGGGAGCACCUUUAUGGUGUGACUGCGUACCUUUUGUAUAAUGGGUCAGCGACUUAUAUUCUGUAGCAAGGUUAACCGUAUAGGGGAGCCGCAGGGAAACCGAGUCUUAACUGGGCGUUAAGUUGCAGGGUAUAGACCCGAAACCCGGUGAUCUAGCCAUGGGCAGGUUGAAGGUUGGGUAACACUAACUGGAGGACCGAACCGACUAAUGUUGAAAAAUUAGCGGAUGACUUGUGGCUGGGGGUGAAAGGCCAAUCAAACCGGGAGAUAGCUGGUUCUCCCCGAAAGCUAUUUAGGUAGCGCCUCGUGAACUCAUCUUCGGGGGUAGAGCACUGUUUCGGCUAGGGGGUCAUCCCGACUUACCAACCCGAUGCAAACUACGAAUACCGAAGAAUGUUAUCACGGGAGACACACGGCGGGUGCUAACGUCCGUCGUGAAGAGGGAAACAACCCAGACCGCCAGCUAAGGUCCCAAAGUCAUGGUUAAGUGGGAAACGAUGUGGGAAGGCACAGACAGCCAGGAUGUUGGCUUAGAAGCAGCCAUCAUUUAAAGAAAGCGUAAUAGCUCACUGGUCGAGUCGGCCUGCGCGGAAGAUGUAACGGGGCUAAACCAUGCACCGAAGCUGCGGCAGCGACACUAUGUGUUGUUGGGUAGGGGAGCGUUCUGUAAGCCUGCGAAGGUGGCCUGUGAGGGUUGCUGGAGGUAUCAGAAGUGCGAAUGCUGACAUAAGUAACGAUAAAGCGGGUGAAAAGCCCGCUCGCCGGAAGACCAAGGGUUCCUGUCCAACGUUAAUCGGGGCAGGGUGAGUCGACCCCUAAGGCGAGGCCGAAAGGCGUAGUCGAUGGGAAACAGGUUAAUAUUCCUGUACUUGGUGUUACUGCGAAGGGGGGACGGAGAAGGCUAUGUUAGCCGGGCGACGGUUGUCCCGGUUUAAGCAUGUAGGCUGGUUAUCCAGGCAAAUCCGGAUAAUCAAGGCUGAGGUGUGAUGACGAGGCACUACGGUGCUGAAGUAACAAAUGCCCUGCUUCCAGGAAAAGCCUCUAAGCAUCAGGUAACAUCAAAUCGUACCCCAAACCGACACAGGUGGUCAGGUAGAGAAUACCAAGGCGCUUGAGAGAACUCGGGUGAAGGAACUAGGCAAAAUGGUGCCGUAACUUCGGGAGAAGGCACGCUGGUGUGUAGGUGAAGUCCCUGCGGAUGGAGCUGAGACCAGUCGAAGAUACCAGCUGGCUGCAACUGUUUAUUAAAAACACAGCACUGUGCAAACACGAAAGUGGACGUAUACGGUGUGACGCCUGCCCGGUGCCGGAAGGUUAAUUGAUGGGGUUAUCCGUAAGGAGAAGCUCUUGAUCGAAGCCCCGGUAAACGGCGGCCGUAACUAUAACGGUCCUAAGGUAGCGAAAUUCCUUGUCGGGUAAGUUCCGACCUGCACGAAUGGCGUAAUGAUGGCCAGGCUGUCUCCACCCGAGACUCAGUGAAAUUGAACUCGCUGUGAAGAUGCAGUGUACCCGCGGCAAGACGGAAAGACCCCGUGAACCUUUACUAUAGCUUGACACUGAACAUUGAGCCUUGAUGUGUAGGAUAGGUGGGAGGCUUUGAAGCGUGGACGCCAGUCUGCGUGGAGCCAACCUUGAAAUACCACCCUUUAAUGUUUGAUGUUCUAACGUUGGCCCGUAAUCCGGGUUGCGGACAGUGUCUGGUGGGUAGUUUGACUGGGGCGGUCUCCUCCCAAAGCGUAACGGAGGAGCACGAAGGUUAGCUAAUCCUGGUCGGACAUCAGGAGGUUAGUGCAAUGGCAUAAGCUAGCUUGACUGCGAGCGUGACGGCGCGAGCAGGUGCGAAAGCAGGUCAUAGUGAUCCGGUGGUUCUGAAUGGAAGGGCCAUCGCUCAACGGAUAAAAGGUACUCCGGGGAUAACAGGCUGAUACCGCCCAAGAGUUCAUAUCGACGGCGGUGUUUGGCACCUCGAUGUCGGCUCAUCACAUCCUGGGGCUGAAGUAGGUCCCAAGGGUAUGGCUGUUCGCCAUUUAAAGUGGUACGCGAGCUGGGUUUAGAACGUCGUGAGACAGUUCGGUCCCUAUCUGCCGUGGGCGCUGGAGAAUUGAGGGGGGCUGCUCCUAGUACGAGAGGACCGGAGUGGACGCAUCACUGGUGUUCGGGUUGUCAUGCCAAUGGCACUGCCCGGUAGCUAAAUGCGGAAGAGAUAAGUGCUGAAAGCAUCUAAGCACGAAACUUGCCCCGAGAUGAGUUCU